rnacentral:lncRNA from 1 species
UGAAAUUUUUCACUUCAAAUUUUGCAGAUACUUGUAUCACAAUACAAAGAGAUGUUUACAAACUUUGGUUCCACUUUGAUUAGAUAUUGAUUUUAUUUUUCACCGAGACGUGCAAAAUCUUAAAAUUUGUAAUGUAUGGAUUGAAGGCGAGGUGAUACCUUCAAAUUUAUUUGAUUAGUUAAAUUCUCAUGAUGAAAUUUUUUUUAUGCGUUAUUUCAUUUUAGUGCCACAAACUUAGAGUACAAAAACAUAACUUCAAGGUACAUGAAAUUAGGAAGAAAAAAAUUAUUCAGUGCAUGCAUAAAAGCUAAAGGACAACAACUGGAUCAUUCCAGUAUAAUGUAUAUGGUACAACUGGAUCAUUCAUUUCAGUAGUUUCUCCCAACACCAACACAAUAGCCUUUACGACACUUACCAUUAACCCCACGAUGUUUUGGACAAUCCUUAUCGGUUAUACAAGGUUUUAGCAUCAAGGGAGCGGAAGAAGUAGAUACUAUUAUGGAAAGAAAUAGAAUCAGAGCAUAAACAAAUUUUAGAAUUUCAACCAUAUCUUUCCCUCUUUAAUUUGUAUAUAACAAACAAUAUAUGAUUUGAUAUAUUUAUAGUGUAUAAAUUU